GUUUGAUCCUGGCUCAGGACGAACGCUGGCGGCGUGCUUAACACAUGCAAGUCGAACGGUAAGGCCCCUUCGGGGGUACACGAGUGGCGAACGGGUGAGUAACACGUGAGCAACCUGCCCUUGACUUCGGAAUACCAGCUGGAAACAGCUGCUAAUACCGGAUAUGACAUCUGCCUGCAUGGGUGGGUGUGGAAAGCUCCGGCGGUCAGGGAUGGGCUCGCGGCCUAUCAGCUUGUUGGUGAGGUAAUGGCUCACCAAGGCUUCGACGGGUAGCCGGCCUGAGAGGGCGACCGGCCACACUGGGACUGAGACACGGCCCAGACUCCUACGGGAGGCAGCAGUGGGGAAUAUUGGACAAUGGGCGCAAGCCUGAUCCAGCAAUGCCGCGUGGAUGAAGAAGGUUUUCGGAUUGUAAAGUCCUUUCGGCGGGGACGAUGAUGACGGUACCCGCAGAAGAAGCCCCGGCUAACUUCGUGCCAGCAGCCGCGGUAAUUCCCUGUGUGA
rnacentral:rRNA from 1 species